AGAGAGAGAGAGAGAGAGAGAGAGAGAGAAACAGACAGACAGACAGACAGACAGAGAAACAGGGAAAGAGAGAAACAGAGAGAGAGAGAGAGGAAGAGACAGAGAGAGACAGAGAAUGAGAGGAGAGACAGAGUAGGAGAGACAGAGAGUGGGAGAGACAGAGAGUGGGAGAGACAGAGUGGGAGAGACAGAGAGUGGGAGAGACAGAGAGUGGAGACAGAGAGUGGGAGAGACAGAGAGUGGGAGAGACAGAGUGGGAGAGACAGAGAGUGGGAGAGACAGAGAUAGAGACAGGCAGAGGGAGAGAGAGACAGAGAGAGAGAGACAGACAGAGGGGAGAGAGACAGACAGAGGGAGAGAGAGAGACAGAGAGAGGAUGAGAGGGGAGAAACAGAAUGAGAGAGAGAGAGAGAGAGAAGCUUGACUACACACGUGGAGAGUGACUGCUUUCCUUUAUUUUGCUGAUGCUUUUUAACCAUGAGUGAAUUUGGAUUUACAAUCUAUAUGAAAAUUAUUGUAUUUUCUACAUAACAAUAUUCUCAAUAAAGUUUCGUAAGCUAU
rnacentral:sRNA from 1 species